UACGGGGGGGGCAAGCGUUGUUCGGAAUUACUGGGCGUAAAGGGCUCGUAGGUGGCCAACUAAGUCAGACGUGAAAUCCCUCGGCUUAACCGGGGAACUGCGUCUGAUACUGGAUGGCUUGAGUUUGGGAGAGGGAUGCGGAAUUCCAGGUGUAGCGGUGAAAUGCGUAGAUAUCUGGAGGAACACCGGUGGCGAAGGCAAUCCCCUGGGCCUGCACUGACGCUCAUGCACGAAAGCGUGGGGAGCAAACAGG
rnacentral:rRNA from 1 species